rnacentral:rRNA from 1 species
GGAUUAGGCAUGCAAGUCGAACGAGGGAGCGUUCCGAAAGGGAUGCAAACCGAGUGGCGUAAGGGUGAGUAAUGCAUUGAUAACCUACCUCCAAGAUGGGAAUAACAACGUUCCAAGCAAUUGGGGCUACCGAAAGGGUUGCUAAUACUCAAUAAAAUUAUUGUUGCUUCGGCAAUAAUAGUCAAAUAGGAGGAAUCGAAAGGUUUCGCUUGCUUGAAGAGGGGUCAAUGUCCUAUCAGCUAGUUGGUGGGGUAAUAGCCUACCAAGGCGAAGACGGGUAGCCGGCCUGAGAGGGUGGUCGGCCACACUGGGACUGAGAUACUGCCCAGACUCCUACGGGAGGCUGCAGUCGAGAAUCUUUCGCAAUGCCCGAAAGGGUGACGAAGCGACGCCGCGUGCGGGAGGAAGGCCUUCGGGUUGUAAACCGCUGUCGGGAGUUAAGAAAUGCAAGGAUGUUAAUAGCGUUCUUGCUUGACUAAGGCUCCGGAGGAAGCCACGGCUAACUCUGUGCCAGCAGCCGCGGUAAUACAGAGGCGGCAAGCGUUGUUCGGAAUUAUUGGGCGUAAAGAGCACGUAGGCGGCUGUGUAAGUCGGUUGUGAAAGCCUUCCGCUCAACGGAAGAACGGCAUCCGAUACUGCAUGGCUUGAGUGUGGGAGGGGAGAGUGGAACUUCUGGUGGAGCGGUGAAAUGCGUAGAUAUCAGAAGGAACACCGGCGGCGAAGGCGACUCUCUGGUCCAUAACUGACGCUGAGUGUGCGAAAGCUAGGGGAGCAAACGGGAUUAGAUACCCCGGUAGUCCUAGCCGUAAACGAUGGGCACUAAGUAGAGGGGUUUU